ACAACUUUCAACAACGGAUCUCUUGGCUCUCGCAUCGAUGAAGAACGCAGCGAAAUGCGAUAAGUAAUGUGAAUUGCAGAAUUCAGUGAAUCAUCGAAUGUUUGAACGCAUCUUGCGCUCCUUGGUACUCCUGAGGAGCAUGCCUGUUUGAGUGUCGUUAAA
rnacentral:rRNA from 2 species